UGCCCAGCAACACCUAUCCCUACCUUCGCGAGGCACCAGCCGGACUGCGAGCAACCUUAGAGAAGAUUGGGUAACCAACCUCGGUGAAAUCUUUGGUCGUAGGCUGACAGGGAAGG
rnacentral:ribozyme from 1 species